AUGGUCGUACGUUUUCUCUUCUCCAUAGAGCAUUAUCAAAUGUUGCCAGGGAAUGACAAAACUUUCUCCCCUCUACGGUUCUCUGAGCUGCUGAAGUACAUAGUUUGUAAAGUCAAACAUGCUGUAAGAUUUUGGGAGUCAGCUGAAAAGGGCCUCUGUUUUAAGUAAGUUUAGCUGUGACCUUGAAGGAGACCUGUUCAGAUUCCAGGAGAAUGGCUUAUCUAGAGGUCGUGGAGCUGAAGCAGGUUAAUUAUAGAGCUAACAUAUAUAGAUUGUUUUUCCGCACAGAAGGCGGUAGGGCCUGUCAUAUAUAAGGUAAUAAUUCUAAAAAAGAAUGGAUAUUCGCUUAAGGCUUAUGUUCUGAUUUUCUUCAUAAGUGUAGGCAUCUUCUGUUGGAAAUCAGUACAGCUUCACUGUAUGAGUCGGGGACUGUAAAGAACCCCAAAGUAUCCAGUGAGUUUACUGUAUAGUAUAGAUCUUCUGAAUACAUGUGUUUCCUUGCCAAGAAGCUGGAAGUGGAUUGAAGGACCAAAUGUCCUCUUUUGUCUUAGAUUAAUAGAAGUUAUUCUGAUUUGACUAUAGCUGUAUUUGACACAAUGUGAUUGAGAGCUAUGGUAGUAUUAUAUCAGCAAUUGUAAAUACUGUACCUGUGUGUAUUUUUCACAAUGAUUUGGGUGAAGCAAAAUUUUGUUUUGAUUUACAAAACACCUAUUACAAUAUUUGAAAAGAGUUCUCUCUCUUGACUGUUAU
rnacentral:lncRNA from 1 species